GACGAACGCUGGCGGCGUGCCUAAUACACGCAAGUAGAACGCUGAAGCGAGGAGCUUGCUCUUCUUGGAUGAGUUGCGAACGGGUGAGUAACGCGUAGGUAACCUGCCUUGUAGCGGGGGAUAACUAUUGGAAACGAUAGCUAAUACCGCAUAACAAUGGAUGACACAUGUCAUUUAUUUGAAAGGGGCAAUUGCUCCACUACAAGAUGGACCUGCGUUGUAUUAGCUAGUAGGUGAGGUAAUGGCUCACCUAGGCGACGAUACAUAGCCGACCUGAGAGGGUGAUCGGCCACACUGGGACUGAGACACGGCCCAGGCUCCUACGGGAGGCAGCAGUAGGGAAUCUUCGGCAAUGGGGGCAACCCUGACCGAGCAACGCCGCGUGAGGGAAGAAGGUUGUCGGAUCGUAAAGCUCUGUUGUAAGUCAAGAACGGGUGUGAGAGUGGAAAGUUCACACUGUGACGGUAGCUUACCAGAAAGGGACGGCUAACUACGUG
rnacentral:rRNA from 1 species